CUUCACACCACAGGUGGGCUCUUCCGCUUUGAUUGGUAUAAAUCCAGAUUACACUUUGCCCAGCUUCUGGAAUGUGCAGUCGCUUUCCUAGCAAUACACCUGGCAGCCAAACUUUCAUUUGGUUUUCCCUUUGUAACUGCACUGCUAAUAUAUAAAUGGCGAAGAAGGCACUUGUCAAUGUAUGAGAAUAUAGAAGAUUUUCUACGGAGUAAUAAUAAUCUCAUGCCAAUAAGGUACUCUUACUCGGACAUAAAAAAGAUGGCCAGAGGUUUCAAGGACAAAUUGGGGGAAGGAGGCUAUGGCUCUGUAUACAAGGCAAAGCUCCGCAGCGGUCGCCUUGUAGCCAUCAAGAUGU